UUGAACGCUGGCGGCAGGCCUCACACAUGCCAGUCGAGCGGAUGAAGGGAGCUUGCUCCUGGAUUCAGCGGCGGACGGGUGAGUAAUGCCUAGGAAUCUGCCUGGUAGUGGGGGAUAACGUCCGGAAACGGGCGCUAAUACCGCAUACGUCCUGAGGGAGAAAGUGGGGGAUCUUCGGACCUCACGCUAUCAGAUGAGCCUAGGUCGGAUUAGCUAGUUGGUGGGGUAAAGGCCUACCAAGGCGACGAUCCGUAACUGGUCUGAGAGGAUGAUCAGUCACACUGGAACUGAGACACGGUCCAGACUCCUACGGGAGGCAGCAGUGGGGAAUAUUGGACAAUGGGCAAAAGCCUGAUCCAGCCAUGCCGCGUGUGUGAAGAAGGUCUUCGGAUUGUAAAGCACUUUAAGUUGGGAGGAAGGGCAGUAAGUUAAUACCUUGCUGUUUUGACGUUACCAACAGAAUAAGCACCGGCUAACUUCGUG
rnacentral:rRNA from 1 species